CUGCUAAUGGAUAGCAUAGGUUUACACAGUGUGAACUGUGCUUGAUAAAGAUUUUUUUUUUUAAAGGAGGGAAACAAUUUCAUCUCUUCAUGAUGGGAAAGCAGUGGAUGUUGUUUACCUUGAUUUCAGCAAGAUUUCGUAGCACGUUUUUUGUCAAGUCAGAGAUGAAUGGAAUAUAAGGGUGCUGCUUCCAGCUCUUCAGAUCAGAGUAACUGUGAAAAUAGAUGCAAAUGCAUGUACUUUGUCUACAUGGACAACGAAGAGAAAGGCUUCUUCUCCACAGGAGUUAUUCAUGGCUUUCUUAAAACUGAAGCAAGUGAUUGCUUGUCCUGUUUAGUCUGUGAACAGUUAUGAUCCCAAACUUUAUACUUUCAAUCUAUCAAAACAAGGAGACUUUGAAUGCAUUACUAUUGAACACAGCAAUGCACAACCAAAUUGAGUGAUGUUUCCAUUUCAAGGUUUCGAAGACUUACUAAGCUGAAAUCUAAAAUACGACAUCUUUCUAUUUGGAAUGACUGUAGUAGAACAGUCUAAGCUAUGGUUCCUGCCCUCAAAUAGUCCAGGUUACUUUCUAAAGUGACUUUGAAAACUAAUUAGAUCUGAAGGCAAAUUUCUGGCUGAAUUGCAUGGACCAUCAAAGCACCUCCAAACAUCUUGAAAACCUCAUUGUUGAACAACUGUUUUUUAUUUCAUUGUAUAUGCUACUUAAGGCAAGAGUGAGGCUUGCAGUGACACGCAGAAUCAGGCUAACAUUGGAUUUCCUGUUUUCUACUCUCUUUCUUAAGACCUUAACAGUUUAUUUUUAACCUCUAUGCACAUUUUUAACUAUUAGGGUAUGAAGUUGUUUUGACUCUGUUUCUGCGUACAUUUUACUACAUAUUUCUUCUGGGUUGUUCACCUGUCCUUAAUCUUAAGAAUUGUUAGUUGUGAGCUCUUAUGUACUUCAGAAUUCCAUUUUAUACAUACUUCUGUACUGAAAUUUGAGUAAUAUAGAAUACUUAGAGCAAUUGGAAAGUAAGACAGCUAUUGCAGUUUUUCAGGGUACCCUGUGGAGUGUGCACUGCUCUGGUUGUCUACCACAUUGCUCUUCUUGUAUUGGUCUAUCUGCAAUAGAUGCAUGCUAUAACAAUAUUGACCACAAAAUUGUGCUAGUAUUUACUAUACAGCCACAAGCACCUUCUCAGGCAUAUUUUUAGUGCAACCGAUGGAAUCAAGUAACUGCAGGUAUAGUUUGAUAUUUAUGGAAACUGGGUUUCAGAACUGAGAUUCCGAGUAGCAUAAUGUGAAUCUGAGAUGAAUAAAUGAGAUUUGUUGUAAUUUGGAUUUUCA
rnacentral:lncRNA from 1 species